GACGUAGGGCGCGAGCGUUGUCCGGAUUUAUUGGGCGUAAAGAGCUCGUAGGCGGUUUGUCGCGUCUGCUGUGAAAACUCGGAGCUUAACCCCGGGCCUGCAGUGGGUACGGGCAGACUAGAGUGCGGUAGGGGAGACUGGAAUUCCUGGUGUAGCGGUGAAAUGCGCAGAUAUCAGGAGGAACACCGGUGGCGAAGGCGGGUCUCUGGGCCGUAACUGACGCUGAGGAGCGAAAGCGUGGGGAGCGAACAGG
rnacentral:rRNA from 1 species